CGAAUGCACGCCGAGAAGGAU
rnacentral:piRNA from 1 species